rnacentral:lncRNA from 1 species
GAAACAUGACAGGAAUACGUUUCUCAAAGUGCUGCUGUUUAGUGUCAUAUUUUGAUUACAGUUUUGUUCCUUGUUGCCACAGUUAGGACGAUUACAUUUGAUGUGGACGCUGGGAAAAUACAACAGCCAUUUCUCUUAAUUUAAGUCCACAACAGAGAAAGAAUCUGCUGGCAAAUUUCAAAGAUUGGAGGAAAAUCCGAUGCCCAGGCUGUUUGGUUAUGGUCCUGAGCGUGGGCACAUUUGAACACCUGGCCCAUAAGUUUGGUUUGCCUCUCAGAUUCAUCAUGUCUAAUCUGUGGCUCUUCUCUCCGCUACUCAGCAGGGUGUUGGAGUGA